rnacentral:rRNA from 1 species
GCAAGAUUAAAACUCAAAGGAAUAGACGGGGACCCGCACAAGCGGUGGAGCAUGUGGUUUAAUUCGACGAUACGCGAAGAACCUUACCUGGCCUUGACAUAGAAAGAACUUACUAGAGAUAGUUUGGUGCUAGCUUGCUAGAACUUUCAUACAGGUGCUGCACGGCUGUCGUCAGCUCGUGUCGUGAGAUGUUGGGUUAAGUCCCGCAACGAGCGCAACCCUCGUGUUUAGUUACUAACAGUUCGGCUGAGGACUCUAGACAGACUGCCUGGGUAACCAGGAGGAAGGUGAGGACGACGUCAAGUCAUCAUGGCCCUUACGGCCAGGGCUACACACGUGCUACAAUGGGGUAUACAAAGAGCCGCAAUACGGUGAGGUGGAGCAAAUCUCAUAAAAUAUCUCCCAGUUCGGAUUGAAGUCUGCAACUCGACUUCAUGAAGUUGGAAUCGCUAGUAAUCGUGAAUCAGCAAUGUCACGGUGAAUACGUUCCCGGGUCUUGUACUCACCGCCC